UGGGGAAUUUUGGACAAUGGGCGAAAGCCUGAUCCAGCAAUGCCGCGUGUGUGAAGAAGGCCUUCGGGUUGUAAAGCACUUUUGUCCGGAAAGAAAUCCUUGGCUCUAAUACAGUCGGGGGAUGACGGUACCGGAAGAAUAAGCACCGGCUAACUACGUGCCAGCAGCCGCGGUAAUACGUAGGGUGCAAGCGUUAAUCGGAAUUACUGGGCGUAAAGCGUGCGCAGGCGGUUUGCUAAGACCGAUGUGAAAUCCCCGGGCUCAACCUGGGAACUGCAUGGUGACUGGCAGGCUAGAGUAUGGCAGAGGGGGGUAGAAUUCCACGUGUAGCAGUGAAAUGCGUAGAGAUGUGGAGGAAUACCGAUGGCGAAGGCAGCCCCCUGGGCCAAUACUGACGCUCAUGCACGAAAGCGUGGGGAGCAAACAGGAUUAGAUACCCUGGUAGUCCACGCCCUAAACGAUGUCAACUAGUUGUUGGGGAUUCAUUUCCUUAGUAACGUAGCUAACGCGUGAAGUUGACCGCCUGGGGAGUACGGUCGCAAGAUUAAAACUCAAAGGAAUUGACGGGGUCAUAGCUGUUUCCU
rnacentral:rRNA from 1 species